CCCGCUGAACUUAAGCAUAUCAAUAAGCGGAGGAAAAGAAACCAACAGGGAUUGCCCCAGUAACGGCGAGUGAAGCGGCAAUAGCUCAAAUUUGAAAUCUGGCUCUUUCAGGGUCCGAGUUGUAAUUUGCAGAGGGCGCUUUGGCGUCGGCAGCAGCCUAAGUUCCUUGGAACAGGUCAUCAUAGAGGGUGAGAAUCCCGUAUGUGGCUGCUUGUCUUCGCCGUGUAAAGCCCCUUCGAUGAGUCGAGUUGUUUGGGAAUGCAGCUCUAAAUGGGAGGUAAAUUUCUUCUAAAGCUAAAUAUUGGCCAGAGACCGAUAGCGCACAAGUAGAGUGAUCGAAAGAUGAAAAGCACUUUGGAAAGAGAGUCAAAAAGCACGUGAAAUUGUUGAAAGGGAAGCGCUUGCAGCCAGACGUGCCCGUAGUUGCUCAUCGGGGGUUCUCCCCCGUGUACUCUUCUAUGGGCAGGCCAGCAUCAGUCCGGGCGGUUGGAGAAAGACCUGUGUCAUGUAGCUGUUUUCGGGCAGUGUUAUAGGGCAGGUGGAAUGCAACCAGCCUGGACUGAGGUCCGCGCAUCUGCUAGGAUGCUGGCGUAAUGGCUGUAAGCGGCCCGUCUUGAAACACGG
rnacentral:rRNA from 1 species